CUCGUGUGUGUGUGUGUGUGUGUGUGUGUGUGUGUGUGUGUGUGUGUGUAUGUGUGUCUCAGUUCUGCUGUGUCUGGAAAAUGCUGUUUCCCUGAGUCAUCUACCACCUCUGGCUCUUCCAGUCUUUCUGAAUCCUCUCCUCAUAGAUCCCGAGCCUUGAGGAGGGGGCUCAAUAAGGGCAUCCCAUUCAGGGCUGAAUGCUCCAAAGUCUCUCACUCUCACUACCUUAUCCAGUUGUGGGUCUCUGUGUUAGUUCCCAUGUACUACAAGAGGAAGCCUCUCUGGUGAUGGCUGGGCCCGGCAGGUACUGAUCUAUACAGUAGAGCAGAAUGUCAUUAGGAGUCAUUUUAUUGCUAUGUUCCUUUAGCAGGAUAACAGUUGUAGGUUUUCCCCAUAGGCCAAUGAACUAUUUAGUCUUAGCCACAUUAGCAGCACAAACUAAGGGUUCCACCUCACAGAGUAGACCUUAAAUUCAAUCAAAAAGUGGUUGGUUAAUCCCAUAGCAUUUGUGCCAUUAUUACACCAGUGUAUAAAGUCAGGUCUCGGUUACAGGUUGCAGGAUUUGUUAGCCAGGUGAAAUUAAUGGUUAUUUUCUCCUCCAGUAGCAUGCCCUGCUACCAUGAGUAUUCCAGUACCAAAAAUGUUAGUCAUCACGAAGCUUCUAGUUAAUUAAUUUAAGCGCUAUGUUUUCUAAAGGCCUUUGUUGCUGUGUUUUCAUAUAGAUUGCUGUUUCCUCACUUAAGAAUUGGCUUCUGCCAGGAAAGGUAUACAUACCUUUACUCUCAGCCCUUGGAAGGCAGAGGAAAGCAAAUUGAGUUUGAGGGAGACAAAUUGAGUCUGAGGCCAGCCUGGUCUAUUUAGUGAGUAAGCUCUGGGCCAACCAGAGUUUUGGGGGAAAGUGGGUGAGGGAGGUUCUUGACAUAAGGAAAGCUAACUGGGCUCUAUCCACCCUUGUGGGGCCUGGAGUAUGAACAAGACAUAUAUGUGUAUGGCAGAAGUACAUUCCUGUUUUCAAGCCAAGUGUUUAGGUUGAGGACUUGAGAGGAGGUAGAGCCGCUAGCCCUUCCCCACCAGUUUGUCCCUAAAGGUAUCUGAUACUCUCUGGAGUGGGAUGAAGACAAAUGUAGGAAGAUAGCCCAACUUUAUUUUUCUUAGCAAGUGAAAUAUGAAGUUAGGCCAGGAGCUUCCAAGUGUGGGUAAUGAGAAGCCCAAAAUCUUAAGGAAAAGCAAAAGAACAACCUCGGAAAACAAGCUGGAGCCUGGAUACAUCGAGCAACACUGCCCCUAGAAAGCGAAAAAGACACUCAAAGGGAAGAUUCCCAGCUGCCAUUGCUGGAGAAACAUGGUGGAUGUGGGAGCAGCAGCUACAGAAUGCAGGAUACACCAGACGGUGAUGGAGAACUUUGCCUUGGCUGAGUAUGGGUCUCUGGGUGCUGGGGAGCAGGCCAGAGUUCCCCAGGAGGAGAAAGAUGAAAGAAGCAUUUGGGAAAAUUAAAGUUAGGUGGGUUGUAAGACUUUUUGUUUGUUUGUUUUGUUCUUUGUUUUUCCAGAUAGGGUUUCUCGGUGCAAAAGUCCUGGCUGUGCUGGAAAUCACUUCAUAGACCACGCUAGGUUCAAACACACAGAGAUUCUUCCUGUUUCUGCCUCCUGUGGGCUGGGAUUAAAGGAGUGCACCACCAUGCCAGCUCAAAGGCUGUGAGACUUUUGAAAUUAGGAUUACAGGUUUGUUUGUUUGUUUGUUUGUUUUUUCCUGACUGAAAAAAAAAUGGAAUUAAGAACAAGAGGAAGAAGAAAAAGUUAGAAUCCUGAAAGCUUUGGGAUAUAAGAGAAAGAAUCCUUUCUCCAAGCCCGACCCAUCUUAGCAUCCCAAAUAGCUAAGACCAUAUCCUGAGAAAACCCAUGCAGUUAAGGAUUCAUUAGACAAGAGCUGCCUCCAGCUCCUUUGUAAGGAUGAUGCUCCUGUUCCUGAGGGUAGACUCCUCGAGAUUUACCACUUCCCAGGGACCCCAUCUCAUUAUACCAGGGCGUCUCGGCUUCAGCCUAUGGGUUUGGAAGGAUGAAAAUAUUCUGACUACAGCAGUGGCUACUUGCUUGAUCUCUGUAAGGCUGGAUUUUUCUGAAAUGCAAAGUGGAUAUAAUGGUAAUACUGAUGCCGACCUCAAAGGAUCACGGUAAGACAAUUACCGGUCCCACACUCAGCCAUCAGUGAACAGCAGCAGGCUGGGACCACCAGGUGGGUCUCCCUGACACUUACCCAAUGUUCUUGUCUCCUAAAGUCAAACCAACUGCUAGUUCCUAGACUUGGACCUAGGUUGGCCAUCAGGGCCUCUCUGUGCAGGCAACAGAAAGUGUUGAUGCUGUCUAAAUACUUGGUUUUAUUCUGAGGUGAUGGGCAUGACUUGUGGGACAGUCAACCCAGAGAGGACACAUCCCAGUGGAAAGGAGAGGAGUCCCAGUUGACUUCUGGGGACUGUUUUCGUUUUCUCAGAAAACUUCUCAGGUUAAACAUGGUCAUGAACAAGGAUGCUGAGAAGUGGGGUGGGCCCUUCAGCUUUCGCUGGGAGCAUCUUACUCUCUUUCUGUUCUGUUGCAUAAAAUCUGAGCUCCAGAUCCUCUGAGACCUUGCAAGGUUAUGUUUUAAGCAGGACUUUUAAUCAAGUUGUUAGGAGUGUGAGGACACAGAACAUCUGCCUGGAGGAGACAGACAGACAGACAUGCGUGUGCUCACACACAAGCAUACACAUACUUGGUCUUUUCUCCCAGCAAUGCAGAUUCAAAGAUCUGCAGGGCUUCUUUUUUUUCCCCUGGUGCCAUUUCUCCAUCUCAAGUGUGCUCUCCUCAUUUACAACACCUUCGAAAUGAACGAAUGAGGCCUGAUGAAUAGUUAAAGGCGUGAUUAGAAGUAGGUACCUGGUUUUGUUUCUCUCCUAAACUGGUUGAUUUAUGCCUUGUUGUGAUUUUUUUUAAGGACACAAAACUACUAAUUUAUGUGUGAAAAGGACAUUGAAUUAAUCCUGAAGAUCCCAGCAGCCUUUAAAGAUCCGAAUCAUAUGUCGGGCUCGUUUAAAACUUGCAUUGGAAAUUAAGGCGGAAGAAAGCCCUUUAAUUUGAAAAGAUGUCACACGGUCGUUAACGGGAUUCGGGAAGACCACAGGAAUUUUGCAAAAACACUUAGCAGAUGAGAAAAUGACCAUUCUUCAGUCUAAAGGAGAAAAGAAUGGGCGGGUGUAAUACUGAGGACACUCAAAGUGGGAUGAUCUGAGUGCUGUGAACUAAGUUUGGGACACUGCAUGAUUUGCCUGGAUAAUUUUAUCAAAAUGAUACUCUCUAAGACCAUGCUGUGAAAAUCGGCCAUGAAGAUCGACCUACAGAGAGCAAUGGGCUCUGGCUUCCUUCUUGUUCCUAUUGCCAUCCUAGUUUCAGGCUGGUUUAGAUGGCAAAACUCCUAGGAUAAAGAAAGGGGACCAAGGCUGAGAAGAAGCAAGAUAUUCCUACUAUCUAUCAAAGGAUGCCUUCUACAAUCAGUUGGCUUCAGGAGCCUAAGCCUCUGCACUACAAGGUAGGAGUGUUUGGGGAAGGCUCACCCUGAGUUCUUUGGAGCUUAUGACCUGGGCAAGAUUGUGGUCACUUACCACAACAGGCAGACAUUGUUGAUGCAUGUGGUGAGCCAGGACGUGCAGAGUUCCCCCAACCACAGCUACUGUUUGAAUGUGAGAUGUCCUUCACAGGUUCACAUCUGAACACUUGGUCAUCAGGUGGUAGCACUGUUCUAGGAGGUUGGAGAACAUUUGGGAGGUAAGAUCUGGCUAGAGGAAGUGGAUCACUGGGGCCGGGGCUUGUGGUUUGUGCCAGCUGUGUUUGCUUCUAGCUUCCUGUCUGCUUGAGUGUGAGGAGGCAAGGUGUCCACUAGGUGGAGCUGCUGGCCAUCAUGUCUCCUCGCCCUGACGGUAUCCCUUAAACUGUGAGCCCAAAUAACUUUUCCUGUAUUUUCUGUCAGAUAUUUGGUACAGUAACAAGUUACUGAUGCAACCACUUUGCUGGAUCCACCCACAUUGGAGGACUGGAGUGAGAAGAUUGAAUGGGGAGGGAGAUGGAAAAGAGGGAUAAGAGAGGGGCGUGGGGAGAGAUGGUCAAAGAGACCCUGUGGAAAACCCCAAACAUCUCAGGUAUUGCCCAGGCUAUUGGUUGUUCUCCAUAAACUGAAAGAUAGUAAGGCCUGACUGCUGAAGUCAACACUUACACAUCUCAUUGAACACAGUCAAGCUGGUGCCUAAUUAGAGAGUUAAUCACUAGUAAUUUUAUGGUACUGAAAAGUACUCUGUACACUACCAGAGAAUAACGAUGAACAUCAACCCAGCUAAAAACCCUCCAGUCUACAAUGGUGGCUUGCCCACAAGAUAUGCUGGUGCCAUAUUGGUACAAAUCUUGUGAGAAUAACCAACCACUCUGUCAUUGAAUUUAAGAGCCAGUCCAUGAAAUGGAACCCAUGCCUGACACUGCUUGGGUGACCAAGAACCUGAGUCUAGAUAGUCCAUGGGCCUAAGGAAAGACUGUUAUUCUGCUAACGGAGGAUAGCAGUAAGAUGACUCCUAAUAACAUUCUGCUAUAUCCGUAGCAGAAUCAGUACCCGGCCCAGUCCUCUUGCGGUAGAUAGGAACUAACACAGAGACCCUUAGCUGGACAAUGUGCAGAAAGUGAGAGAAAGUGAGAUUCUGGAACACUCAGUGCUCAAUGACAUGCCUUCAUCAAAACUCUCAAGGAUCCAUGAUGAAGAGGAUGCAGAAAGAUCAUAAAGGUCUGAGGGGAUGGAUGACUUCCAGGAAACAGUGCCCUCCGGACAAAACAAGAUUGAUACACGUAUGAGCUACAGAAACUGGGGCAGGUGCACAGGGCUGAACAGGUGGAAGCCUGAUAGGGUACUGCACUAAGAGAGAGGUAGACACGAGCUCUUACCCCCUAAUCAAGAUGCUGACUGCAACUGACACAUGCUUACAAAGGAAAAAUCAGUUUCACCAGUGGAACCUCACUGGGUGGGCCCCAUGCCCAUGCCCAGCAGUAAAUGGCCAACACAAAACUAACUCAAAGACAUUGUUGUAGUUUUUUUUUUUUUUUUUUUUGCGUCAUAUUGCUUUGGUUGGGCUUGUAUAUUAUGGUUUCUGAUUUUAUGUUUUGUCGAUUUCGUCUUGUGUAUGUAUGAGAGUUUCUUUUGUUCCUCCCACCUCCCAUCUCCCGUUUUUUGUUUGUUUGUUUGUUUGUUUGUUUACCUAUUUGCUUUCUAAAGAGAGAGAAAGGAAGGGUGUGGAGUUGUAUGAGUGUGUGAAAGGAUCUGAGAGAAGUUGGGGGAGGGGAAAACAUGAUCAGAACAUUUUGUACAAAAUUCUUUAAUGAAAAAUAUUUUUAAAGAGUUUGAAGUUAGCCAGGGUAAAAAACUAGGCCCUAUGUUUUUUUAAGUGUUAGUUUUGACAAAUGUCAGCUUUACAGAGUUUUGUUUUCUCUAUCUACGGACUGAUUGAUGUUCAGAUAAGAACAAGGGAUCAUUAUUUUGUUAGUGUGGCAGGUAUUGUAGAGAUGUUUGGUUUUUGUUUUUGUUUUGUUUUUGUUUGUUUCUAUUUAAAAGGCCUUUCUGAGCCAGUGAGAUGGCUCGGCAGGUAAAGGUGCUUGCCAUCCAAGCCUGAUGACACGAGUUCAGUCCUUGGAACCCAUAGUGGAAGGAGAGAGCUGUCUCUUGAAAGGGAUCCCUAACCUCCGCAAGCAGGCCGUGGUGUGUGAAUGGUAAAUAACCAAAAUACUGUCAAUGAAAGCAUGAAGCCCUUCUGAAGUUUGCAAGUUGGUCAGAUGUUCAGGGUUUGCUCAGCAUUCUAUCUGUGUAUCUAACAAAAUUUGGAAGCCCUAAAUAGGGGUACAGAUUAUUGUUCUCUGUGUGUUUGGCACACAGCGAGCCUGCUAUGAAGAGCUGUUGAAGGUUAGAACUGGGCUUGGGAGGGAAAUACUCUGGUUCACCGACUGACUGAUGGAUAAAUAAGCUGUGGUACGUCCAUGCAGUGGUACAUUUGCUUGCUAUAAAAAAAAAAAAAAAAAAAAAAAAAGCAUGGAUUCAUGCUACAAGGAGGGUGUGAUGCUAAGCCAAAGAAGUCAACCCCAAGGAUCCACACAGUUUUUUUUUUUCCAUUUCAAAUCUACAGGCACAGAAAGGCUGUUGGCAGUUAUCUGGGGGCUGGAUGAGAGACUGGGAGACAAGGGGAGAGAUUGCUAGUGAGUAUGGGGCUUCCCGCUGGCAGUUGAUUGAUUGGUAGUGCUCAGAUAAAACUCAAUGCAAAAAACAUUCUGAAACUUACAGAGGAGAAAGUGGGGGAAAGCCUCGAAGAUAUGGGCACAGGGGGAAAAUUGCUGAACAGA